AUGCCUUAAACUUAUGAAUAAGGAAAAAUAAUUAUUCAGGGAUGAUUCCUGAGCCCUUAUCACUGACAUAAGACCAAGUUUUAGGUGGGUAAAGCUUGCUCCUAAGUGAAAUGCCUGAGUAAAUGAAUCUGCCUG